GGGGGUGUAGCUCAGUGUAGAGUAUUUGCCUAGCAUGCAUGUGACCCUGGGUUUCAACCCUAGCAUCGCAA
rnacentral:tRNA from 1 species